rnacentral:rRNA from 1 species
GACGAACGCUGCGGCGCGCCUAACACAUGCAAGUCGAACGGAGUUGUGUUGAAGCUUGCUGGAUAUACAACUUAGUGGCGGACGGGUGAGUAACACGUGAGUAACCUGCCUCUCAGAGUGGAAUAACGUUCGGAAACGAACGCUAAUACCGCAUAAUGCUUUUGAGCGGCAUCGCUUGAAAGCCAAAGAUUUAUCGCUGAAAGAUGGUCUCGCGUCUGAUUAGCUAGUUGGUGAGGUAACGGCUCACCAAGGCGACGAUCAGUAGCCGGUCUGAGAGGAUGAACGGCCACAUUGGGACUGAGAUACGGCCCAG